UACGUAGGGGGCUAGCGUUGUCCGGAAUCAUUGGGCGUAAAGAGCGUGUAGGCGGCCUGGAAGGUCAGCUGUGAAAACUCGAGGCUCAACCUCGAGACGUCGGUUGAAACCACCUGGCUAGAGUCCGGAAGAGGAGAGUGGAAUUCCCGGUGUAGCGGUGAAAUGCGCAGAUAUCGGGAAGAACACCUAUGGCGAAGGCAGCUCUCUGGGACGGUACUGACGCUGAGACGCGAAAGCGUGGGGAGCGAACAGG
rnacentral:rRNA from 1 species